AGAGUUUGAUCCUGGCUCAGGAUGAACGCUAGCGGCAGGCUUAAUACAUGCAAGUCGUGGGGCAGCACAGUAUAGCAAUAUAUGGGUGGCGACCGGCAAACGGGUGCGUAACACGUACGCAACUUUCCUUCAGGCGGGGAAUAGCCCAGAGAAAUUUGGAUUAAUACCCCAUAACAUUUUGAGAUGGCAUCAUCUUAUUAUUAAAGCUUCGGCACCUGAAGAUGGGCGUGCGGCUGAUUAGGUAGUUGGCGGGGGUAACGGCCCACCAAGCCUUCGAUCAGUAGCUGAUGUGAGAGCAUGAUCAGCCACACGGGCACUGAGACACGGGCCCGACUCCUACGGGAGGCAGCAGUAAGGAAUAUUGGUCAAUGGACGAAAGUCUGAACCAGCCAUGCCGCGUGGAGGAUGAAGGUCCUCUGGGAUUGUAAACUUCUUUUAUUUGGGACGAAAAAAGGGGAAUUCUUUCUCACUUUGACGACCGAUGAAUAAGCACCGGCUAACUCCGUGCCAGCAGCCGCGGUAAUACGGAGGGGUGCAAGCGUUAUCCGGAUUCACUGGGUUUAAAGGGUGUGUAGGGCGGGCAGAUAAGUCAGUGGUGAAAUCCCCGAGCUUAACUUGGGAACUGCCAUUGAUACUAUUUGUCUUGAAUGUCGUGGAGGUUGGCGGAAUAUGUCAUGUAGCGGUGAAAUGCUUAGAUAUGACAUAGAACACCUAUUGCGAAGGCAGCUAACUACGCGAAUAUUGACGCUGAGGCACGAAAGCGUGGGGAUCAAACAGGAUUAGAUACCCUAGUAGUCC
rnacentral:rRNA from 1 species